UACGAAGGGGGGCUAGCGUUGCUCGGAAUGACUGGGCGUAAAGGGCUCGUAGGCGGUUUGUCGCGUCGGGAGUGAAAACCUCGGGCUUAACUCGGGGGCUUGCUUUCGAUACGGGCAGACUAGAGGUAUGCAGGGGAGAACGGAAUUCCUGGUGUAGCGGUGAAAUGCGCAGAUAUCAGGAGGAACACCGGUGGCGAAGGCGGUUCUCUGGGCAUGAUCUGACGCUGAGGAGCGAAAGUGUGGGGAGCGAACAGG
rnacentral:rRNA from 1 species